UUCUCCCUGCUUUGUUCGAUAAUUACGGUAAAUAUAACCCAACAAGAAUUAUAAGGGAGCCGAUGCUCCUGAAGUGAAUUGCAGGCCUCCCAAUUUAUUUGGACGAAGGAAGCAUGAAGCAAAGGGCAGGCACCCACCUGCACAGAAGCAGGUUAUUAUCUACCGUUUCCGGCAUAGCGGGGGCUU
rnacentral:other from 1 species